CUAAAAAAAAUAAAAUCUACUCAUACUUUUUCUUUUGAAAGAUAGUCUAUUUAUAUUUGCAGCAAGUGUGUGCUAUAUUUUCCAACUAAAAGUAUUCAAUCAUAUUCUUAAUAACUAAAAUUAAACUUUCUAAAAUAAACCACAAUCAAAUACCUCAAACUCAUGGUAAAAUAUAUUUUAUUUUCACUUAUCAAAAUAAUCAUAUUUCGUCAAUUCUAAAAUUUACUCUAAUAGUCUUGUAUUGGUUCAUUCUAUAGAACUAGUUUGUUUC
rnacentral:lncRNA from 1 species